GCUGGGCGUGGUGGCUCACGCCUGUAAUCCCAGCACUUCGGGAGGCCGAGGCGGGAGGAUCACUUGAGGUCAGGAAUUCGAGAUGAGCCUGGCCAACAUGGUGAGACCUCGUCUCUA
rnacentral:SRP_RNA from 1 species